UUAUCUUUGCAAUGCAUUGGUUUGCCCCUUUUUUUCAAAGGGGGCAAUUAAAAGGGAAUCAGGUGUAAGUCCUGAACAGUCCCGCUGCUGUAAGUUUCACAUAAUGUUGCAGACAAUAAAUUCUCUCUCCAUGCCACUGGAUAUGUUGUCCGGGAAGGCAGUCUGCAACAGAAACAAGUCAGAAGACCUGCCAUGCGUUAUCUUAUCAUU
rnacentral:ncRNA from 21 species